rnacentral:rRNA from 1 species
GGGCGUAAGGGCUCGCAGGCGGUUUCUUAAGUCUGAUGUGAAAGCCCCCGGCUCAACCGGGGAGGGUCAUUGGAAACUGGGAAACUUGAGUGCAGAAGAGGAGAGUGGAAUUCCACGUGUAGCGGUGAAAUGCGUAGAGAUGUGGAGGAACACCAGUGGCGAAGGCGACUCUCUGGUCUGUAACUGACGCUGAGGAGCGAAAGCGUGGGGAGCGAACAGGAUUAGAUACCCUGGUAGUCCACGCCGUAAACGAUGAGUGCUAAGUGUUAGGGGGUUUCCGCCCCUUAGUGCUGCAGCUAACGCAUUAAGCACUCCGCCUGGGGAGUACGGUCGCAAGACUGAAACUCAAAGGAAUUGACGGGGGCCCGCACAAGCGGUGGAGCAUGUGGUUUAAUUCGAAGCAACGCGAAGAACCUUACCAGGUCUUGACAUCCUCUGACAACCCUAGAGAUAGGGCUUUCCCUUCGGGGACAGAGUGACAGGUGGUGCAUGGUUGUCGUCAGCUCGUGUCGUGAGAUGUUGGGUUAAGUCCCGCAACGAGCGCAACCCUUGAUCUUAGUUGCCAGCAUUCAGUUGGGCACUCUAAGGUGACUGCCGGUGACAAACCGGAGGAAGGUGGGGAUGACGUCAAAUCAUCAUGCCCCUUAUGACCUGGGCUACACACGUGCUACAAUGGACAGAACAAAGGGCUGCAAGACCCGCAGGUUUAGCCAAUCCCCAUAAUCUGUUCUCAGUUCGGAUCGCAGUCUGCUACUCGACUGCGUGAAGCUGGAAUCGCUAGUAAUCGCGGAUCAGCAUGCCGC